rnacentral:rRNA from 1 species
CCUACGGGAGGCAGCAGUGAGGAAUAUUGGUCAAUGGACGAGAGUCUGAACCAGCCAAGUAGCGUGAAGGAUGACUGACCUAUGGGUUGUAAACUUCUUUUAUAAAGGAAUAAAACGAGGCAAGUGUGCCUUUUUGCAUGUACUUUAUGAAUAAGGAUCGGCUAACUCCGUGCCAGCAGCCGCGGUAAUACGGAGGAUCCGAGCGUUAUCCGGAUGUAUUGGGUUUAAAGGGAGCGUAGAUGGGUUGUUAAGUCAGUUGUGAAAGUUUGCGGCUCAACCGUAAAAUUGCAAUUGAUACUGGCAGUCUUGAGUACAGUUGAGGUGGGCGGAAUUCGAGGUGUAGCGGUGAAAUGCUUAGAUAUCACGAAGAACCCCGAUUGCGAAGGCAGCUUACUAAACAGUGACUGACAUUGAUGCUCGAAAGUGUGGGUAUCAAACAGGAUUAGAUACCCCAGUAGUC